UGCGGGGUGGAGCAGCCCGGUAGCUCGUCAGGCUCAUAACCUGAAGGUCGUGGGUUCAAAUCCCACCCCCGCUACCA
rnacentral:tRNA from 1 species